rnacentral:siRNA from 1 species
CAACAGAGCACAUUAAAUCUUAAA